rnacentral:rRNA from 1 species
AAUAGUAAACUAGAAAAACACAUUUAUUAUAUCGUUAACCCUACACAGGAGUGUUUAUAGGAAAGAUUUAAAGAAAAUAAAGGAACUCGGCAAACACAAACUCCGCCUGUUUACCAAAAACAUCGCCUCUUGCAAACCCUGUAUAAGAGGUCCCGCCUGCCCUGUGACAUUGUUUAACGGCCGCGGUAUUAUGACCGUGCGAAGGUAGCGUAAUCACUUGUCUUUUAAUUGAAGACCUGUAUGAAAGGCAUCACGAGAGUUUACCUGUCUCUAUUUUCUAAUCAAUGAAAUUGAUUUCCCCGUGCAGAAGCGGGGAUAUAGGCAUAAGACGAGAAGACCCUAUGGAGCUUUAAACACUUAAGUUACUAUCUUACUUAUCAAUUAAUCUAAAGACCUAACCUCCCCUAAUAGUAGCCUAACUUAAUGUUUUCGGUUGGGGCGACCAAGGAGUAAAAGAAAACCUCCUUAUCGACUGAGUAUUUUUACUUAAAAACCAGAACGACAGUUCUGAUCAAUAGAAUAUCUAACGAAUAAUGACCCAGGGCUACACCCUGAUCAAUGAACCAAGUUACCCUAGGGAUAACAGCGCAAUCCUUUCUAAGAGUCCAUAUCGCCGAAAGGGUUUACGACCUCGAUGUUGGAUCAGGACAUCCUAAUGGUGCAACCGCUAUUAAGGGUUCGUUUGUUCAACGAUUAAUAGUCCUACGUGAUCUGAGGU